CCCAAAACCGAUUCCCCCCAUCCUCAGAAAUCUCUUCUUUUUUCCCCAUUUUAAUUUUCCCAAACCAUUUCUACCCUACCCCGAUUCCCUUUAUUUUCCCCCCAAUUUCCCCAAAUUGGCAGCCCUCUGCAUCUCCUCAAAGGGUACAGAUUCAUGGAUACCCCACGCCACCACAAUCUGCAUUUCCUCAAACGGAGUUUAUAGAGAGGUGAGACCAAGUAAUUUUGGGUUACAACAGAGAAACCAAAGUAAAAAAAUGGGUGGAUAUAGAUGGGAUCUUGGGUAACCGAGAUUCGAAGCUAGGCAAAUCAAGCAUACCCAGGAGACGACAAUGGGUUAAAAGAAGAGAAACAUGGCUGGUUAUACUUGGUGUCAUCCUCCAUGCCGUUUACAUUGGAUGGUUUACGUGCUGAUAAAUUUUUCGAGCCAGAUUUGGAAGGGAGUUUCAGAGCACCCUUUGCGUUAAACUCUUCGUUAACCGUCUUUACUUUCCAAGUUGAUAUAUUUUUAUGAUUUUUUUUCUUAUUAGCAUGUAGCCUUUCAUAUUAAAAAGUAAAUUUAUAAAAUCUUGUCUACUUUUUUAAUGUGUAGUUUUCCCUCAAUUGUUAAAUUUAAUCAUGUGUUUACUUAUAUAGAUAUAUAUGAUUUUAACAAAUAUCCAACUUUUGAUUGUAUUUUCUUUUUAAUUGGAAAUUUAAAAAAUAUAUAAAAAAUAUGAAAAUAUUUUACUAAUAUGGUACACACUAGUACGAGCUUUAUUUCCUAAAAGCUUAAGCAAAUGUAAAAAAAUCACUUCUCUUAACAUCCGUGUAUUAUGUUCUUUGCAGAAAUUCAUAUGUUGGCAAUCUCUCUUUUCUAUGAAAUAGAGUAGAAGCUUAAGCAGUGUCGGGAGGCUUGUUCAUAUUGAUUUUGGUUUCAUCUUGGAAACAUCACCUGGUGGAAAUAUGCGGUUCAAGAGUGCACAUUUCAAGUUGAGCCAUGAGAUGACUCAAUUACUAGACCCAUCGGGAGUUAUGAAAAGUGAAACCUGGGACAACUUUGUAAGUGCUUGUGUUCAGUUGCUGAGGAAAUUGCAAGGUCAGGAGGGGGAUAUAGUGGGAGAAGAAGCAUCAAUGACACCAAAUAAAAUUUUUCAGCUCUUCACUCAGGUUUCUUUUUUACUUGAACUUGUACACACGCACAUAUCACCUUAUGCAAAAGACACUCUAAUAGCCCUUCUUUCAGAUCAUUGAGUCCCUUUCAGCUGUUCCAUCCCCUGAACUUGCAUUAAGGUUGUACCUGCAAUGUGCUGAGGUAAUCUUGAGUCUUGACUUAAACCAACUCUGCAUAACAGUCAUUGGUUAAAUAGUGAAUUGAACCCUGAAAAUUAUUUUAGAUGAUAACAAAUUUUAUUGAACUUCAAGAGAUGCCAUUUUUCUAAUUGAUAGUUGGGAAAGGGCAUAUUGAGAUAAAUAAUGUUGCUCACGAGAGUGCAAGGUUUCUGAUGGAACAGGUGCUUACAAGAAUAAAUAGAAUUAUUUGUGACAUUCUUGGGCUGUUACCAAUGUUCCAUUAAUUUAUUAUGUUGAUUCCAGGCAUUAGGGAUCAAUAAUUUUAUUUUAAGAUGAUGCGAAAGGGGUGCUAUCAUCAUAAACCCUGAUAGUGUGGCAGAUGCUUUCCUUGCCAGCACCUUGCGUUACAUUCAAUUCCAAAAACAAAAAGGCGGUGUAGUGGGUGAGAAAUUCAAUUCCGUUAAACUGUAAAUUGUUGAGUCAUGUAAAGAAGUAAUGCAUGGCAGUUAGAGAUGUAAAUAGGCAUUUAUUCUGAAUUUGGGUUUCAUAUUUGCUUGAUUAUAUCUUUUAUUAAACUGUAAAUUAUUGAGUCAUGUAAAUUGUAUUAUACCUUUUAUUACCAAGAUUUACUUGAUUAAGAAAAUGCAUUAUAUUUUU